AUUGAACGCUGGCGGCAUGCCUUACACAUGCAAGUCGAACGGUAACAGGUCUUUCGGGAUGCUGACGAGUGGCGAACGGGUGAGUAAUACAUCGGAACGUGCCUAGUAGUGGGGGAUAACUACUCGAAAGAGUGGCUAAUACCACAAGAGAUCUAUGGAGGAAAGCAGGGGACCUUGGGGCUUUGUGCUACUAGAGCGGCCGAUGGCAGAUUAGGUAGUUGGUGGGAUAAAAGCUUACCAACCCUACGAUCUGUAGCUGGUCUGAGAGGACGAGCAGCCACACUGGGACUGAGACACGGCCCAGACUCCUACGGGAGGCAGCAGUGGGGAAUUUUGGACAAUGGGCGCAAGCCUGAUCCAGCCAUGCCGCGUGUAGGAUGAAGGCCUUCGGGUUGUAAACUGCUUUUGUACGGAACGAAGAGACUUGGGUUAAUACCCUGGGAUAAUGACGGUACCGGAAGAAUAAGCACCGGCUAACUCCGUG
rnacentral:rRNA from 1 species